CAUAGUUCAGUUGGUUAGAGCGUCAGAUUGUGGUUCUGAAUGUCGUGGGUUCGAAUCCCACUGGU
rnacentral:tRNA from 1 species